GCGCCUCCAUGACGGGUGAGGGCGAAAUGGCGGCCGGAAGGGGCGGCCUGUAGCAGCCAUUGCCGGCGGGACGGGGCGCGGCGGCGGCGGAGUAGGUGGUGGCGACAGCAGAGACGAGGCGGCCGCGGCGGGGCAAUGCCACACUGAGAUGCCUGUGAAAUGCAGAGAUUUGGCAAAGCAGUGUACCAGCUUCAUCUUCAAAAGGCAAUGGCCUUGUUGCUUUCAGUAGAACUGCUCAAUUGAAGCAGAAAAGCAGAGAGUGUACCUGGAUGAAGCUUUGUUGCAAGAGGGCGGAUAAG